rnacentral:rRNA from 1 species
GAUGAACGCUAGCGGCAGGCUUAAUACAUGCAAGUCGAGGGGCAGCACAGAUAGCAAUAUUGGGUGGCGACCGGCAAACGGGUGCGGAACACGUACACAACCUUCCUUUUGGUGGGGGAUAGCCUUUGGAAACGGAGAUUAAUACCCCAUAAGAUAUUGUGACCGCAUGGUUAUGAUAUUAAAGAUUUAUUGCCAGAAGAUGGGUGUGCGUAUGAUUAGGUAGUUGGUGAGGUAAAGGCUCACCAAGCCGACGAUCAUUAACUGGUGUGAGAGCACGACCAGUCACACGGGCACUGAGACACGGGCCCGACUCCUACGGGAGGCAGCAGUAAGGAAUAUUGGUCAAUGGACGGAAGUCUGAACCAGCCAUGCCGCGUGGAGGAUGAAGGUCCUCUGGAUUGUAAACUUCUUUUAUAUGGGGCGAAAAAGGGCCAUUCUUGGUCAACUGACGGUACCAUAUGAAUAAGCACCGGCUAACUCCGUGCCAGCCGCCGCGGUAAUAC